CAAGAGGCCGAAAGGCAACUUCAAACCAUCGCGAACUCAUCCAAGUUGCUUCGGCGGCGCGGGACCCCUCGGGGGACCGCAGCCCACGCCCCCCCGGGGGCGCGGGGCGCCCGCCGGAGGUCACGAACUCUCAUGUAUUACAGUGGCAUCUCUGAGUAAAAAGCAAAUAAGUUA
rnacentral:misc_RNA from 1 species